rnacentral:rRNA from 1 species
UAGUCCACGCUGUAAACGAUGUCGAUUUGGAGGUUGUGCCCUUGAGGCGUGGCUUCCGGAGCUAACGCGUUAAAUCGACCGCCUGGGGAGUACGGCCGCAAGGUUAAAACUCAAAUGAAUUGACGGGGGCCCGCACAAGCGGUGGAGCAUGUGGUUUAAUUCGAUGCAACGCGAAGAACCUUACCUACUCUUGACAUCCAGAGAACUUUCCAGAGAUGGAUUGGUGCCUUCGGGAACUCUGAGACAGGUGCUGCAUGGCUGUCGUCAGCUCGUGUUGUGAAAUGUUGGGUUAAGUCCCGCAACGAGCGCAACCCUUAUCCCUUGUUGCCAGCGGUUCGGCCGGGAACUCAAAGGAGACUGCCAGUGAUAAACUGGAGGAAGGUGGGGAUGACGUCAAGUCAUCAUGGCCCUUACGAGUAGGGCUACACACGUGCUACAAUGGCAUAUACAAAGAGAAGCGACCUCGCGAGAGCAAGCGGACCUCAUAAAGUAUGUCGUAGUCCGGAUUGGAGUCUGCAACUCGACUCCAUGAAGUCGGAAUCGCUAGUAAUCGUAGAUCAGAAUGCUACGGUGAAUACGUUCCCGGGCCUUGUACACACCGCCCGUCGCACCAUGGGAGUGGGUUGCAAAAGAAGUAGGUAGCUUAACCUUCGGGAGGGCGCUUACCACUUUGUGAUUCAUGACUGGGGGUGAAGUCGUAACAAGGUACCAAGGGCGAA